GAGGGGCUUCUCCCCGAGGUCCUGAGGUAGCCCGCUCGCCGGGCUGGGCCGCCUGCUGGCCCCGGGCUCUCCCCUGCGGCAAGCCAGACCCCGGCCACCCCGCAACGACAAGAGGGAGGAGGCGGGGGCCGUUUCCCACCCCUUCGGCCGCUCCCAGCCCGCCCAAGGACCAAAUAGCAGGACACGAAAGGGCUCCAGAUGCUGAAGUUGAGAGCGACAGAAGAAGCUUCGAGCAAGUUGAUUAGAAUGUGCACCACCCGCAGAGCAGCCUCCCGGAAAGGUACUACAAUCAGCACCUGGAAACAAGACGGUGAAUCGGGGGAUGCCAAGCAAGCCCAAAAUGCCCCCUGCCGCCCCACCAGAUGUACAGACUGGGAGCCCUGCCUGGCAUCGGCCUGCGAUAGCUCAGGGGAUAGAGCAAGGGCCUGCGAGUCAGGAGACCUGGGUUUACCCCCUGCUCAGAGAACUUGGGUCUGUUUGAGCUAGAACAUCGAACACCGUCCGCUUCUGACAACAUGAAUGUCUGUUUGGGCUGGGCCCAUUGUUAGCCCCGAAAACAUACAUAUGCGCCCGCGACGUCGGAACUGGCCUCCUCCUCCAUCUGUAAAAUGGAAACGAUAAUACCUGCUGCCUCUGCCUCGUUGGGAGGUUGAAGACAGAAUGAGGUAAUAACUUUUAAAGAACGCUGCCAAAUGAAAGUGCUCUACCAAGCUGUGGUACUGGCGUCAUUACAUAGGUAGGACUGAGUGUCUGAGUCCCCGUGGACGCACCACAUAAGGAGUCUUCCUUGAGGAACUGCCACUUUAGGGCCAGUUUCUCCUGCUGUCUUCACAGUUAGCUUUCCUACAGAGCGCUUACCGUCAUCCUGGAGACCACGCACGAGUCUAGAGGAACAACAGAAGCUUAAUAAAAAGAAGCAGCAAACUCCAGGCCCACUUCUUUUACUGGCUUCAAAAACCUCCCUCUCAAAGUGUGUGCGUAGACACCUAGGUGGAUGCACAAACUGUUUUCACCGCCUUUGUAACUGCCUUUGGUAGAGCUGUAAAUUAACUAAAUAAAACCUAUGUCUCCAAGUAA